rnacentral:rRNA from 1 species
GAUGAACGCUGGCGGCGUGCCUAAUACAUGCAAGUCGAGCGAACAGACGAGGAGCUUGCUCCUCUGACGUUAGCCGCGGACGGGUGAGUAACACGUGGAUAACCUACCUAUAAGACUGGGAUAACUUCGGGAAACCGGAGCUAAUACCGGAUAAUAUAUUGAACCGCAUGGUUCAAUAGUGAAAGACGGUUUUGCUGUCACUUAUAGCUGGAUCCGCGCCGCAUUAGCUAGUUGGUAAGGUAACGGCUUACCAAGGCAACGAUGCGUAGCCGAACUGAGAGGGGGAUCGGCCACACUGGAACUGAGACACGGUCCAGACUCCUACGGGAGGCAGCAGUAGGGAAUCUUCCGCAAUGGGCGAAAGCCUGACGGAGCAACGCCGCGUGAGUGAUGAAGGUCUUCGGAUCGUAAAACUCUGUUAUUAGGGAAGAACAAAUGUGUAAGUAACUAUGCACGUCUUGACGGUACCUAAUCAGAAAGCCACGGCUAACUACGUG